UACAGAGGGGGCAAGCGUUGUUCGGAAUUACUGGGCGUAAAGCGCACGUAGGCGGAUUGUUAAGUCGGGGGGUGAAAUCCUGGAGCUCAACUCCAGAACUGCCUUCGAUACUGGCGAUCUCGAGUUCGGGAGAGGUGAGUGGAACUGCGAGUGUAGAGGUGAAAUUCGUAGAUAUUCGCAAGAACACCAGUGGCGAAGGCGGCUCACUGGCCCGGUACUGACA
rnacentral:rRNA from 1 species